rnacentral:rRNA from 1 species
AGAGUUUGAUCCUGGCUCAGAACGAACGCUGGCGGCGUGCUUAACACAUGCAAGUCGCACGAGAACUCUUUAGCUUGCUAAAGAUAGUAAAGUGGCGCACGGGUGAGUAACGCGUGGGUAAUCUUCCUUCAAAUUGGGGAUAACUCGCCGAAAGGCGGGCUAAUACCGAAUAACAUCUUUGAAACCUCGGUUUUGGAGAUCAAAGGUGGCCUCUAUUUAUAUGCUACUGUUUGAAGAUGAGCCCGCGUACCAUUAGCUUGUUGGUAGGGUAAUGGCCUACCAAGGCGGCGAUGGUUAGCUGGUCUGAGAGGAUGAUCAGCCACACUGGAACUGACACACGGUCCAGACUCCUACGGGAGGCAGCAGUGAGGAAUUUUGCGCAAUGGGGGAAACCCUGACGCAGCAACGCCGCGUGAGUGAUGAAGGCCUUCGGGUCGUAAAGCUCUGUCAAGUGGGAAGAAACUGAUUAAUGAUAAUACGAUUAAUCACUGACGGUACCACUGAAGGAAGCACCGGCUAACUCCGUGCCAGCAGCCGCGGUAAUACGGAGGGUGCAAGCGUUAUUCGGAAUCAUUGGGCGUAAAGGGCGCGUAGGCGGUUUUUUAAGUCUGAUGUGAAAGCCCUGGGCUCAACCCAGGAAGUGCAUUGGAAACUGUCAGACUUGAAUACGGGAGAGGGUAGUGGAAUUCCUAGUGUAGGAGUGAAAUCCGUAGAUAUUAGGAGGAACACCGGUGGCGAAGGCGGCUACCUGGACCGAUAUUGACGCUGAGACGCGAAAGCGUGGGUAGCAAACAGGAUUAGAUACCCUGGUAGUCC